GAGCGAACGGACGAGAAGCUUGCUUCUCUGAUGUUAGCGGCGGACGGGUGAGUAACACGUGGAUAACCUACCUAUAAGACUGGGAUAACUUCGGGAAACCGGAGCUAAUACCGGAUAAUAUUUUGAACCGCAUGGUUCAAAAGUAAAAGACGGUCUUGCUGUCACUUAUAGAUGGAUCCGCGCUGCAUUAGCUAGUUGGUAAGGUAACGGCUUACCAAGGCAACGAUGCAUAGCCGACCUGAGAGGGUGAUCGGCCACACUGGAACUGAGACACGGUCCAGACUCCUACGGGAGGCAGCAGUAGGGAAUCUUCCGCAAUGGGCGAAAGCCUGACGGAGCAACGCCGCGUGAGUGAUGAAGGUCUUCGGAUCGUAAAACUCUGUUAUUAGGGAAGAACAUAUGUGUAAGUAACUGUGCACAUCUUGACGGUACCUAAUCAGAAAGCCACGGCUAACUACGUGCCAGCAGCCGCGGUAAUACGUAGGUGGCAAGCGUUAUCCGGAAUUAUUGGGCGUAAAGCGCGCGUAGGCGGUUUUUUAAGUCUGAUGUGAAAGCCCACGGCUCAACCGUGGAGGGUCAUUGGAAACUGGAAAACUUGAGUGCAGAAGAGGAAAGUGGAAUUCCAUGUGUAGCGGUGAAAUGCGCAGAGAUAUGGAGGAACACCAGUGGCGAAGGCGACUUUCUGGUCUGU
rnacentral:rRNA from 1 species